UACAGAGGGUGCGAGCGUUAAUCGGAAUUACUGGGCGUAAAGCGUGCGUAGACGGCUAUCUAAGUCGGGUGUGAAAGCCCCGGGCUCAACCUGGGAAGUGCGCUCGAAACUGCGCGGCUCGAGUGCCGGAGGGGAGAGUGGAAUUCCUGGUGUAGCGGUGAAAUGCGUAGAUAUCAGGAGGAAUACCGGUGGCGAAAGCGACUCUCUGGACGGCAACUGGACGCUGAGGCACGAAAGCGUGGGGAGCAAACAGG
rnacentral:rRNA from 1 species